GUGGUGGCACUGGUGCCUAAUGAGCUGAUUUCUAUAUAUAAAGGUCUUGGGGCAUAAUCGGCACUAAAAUGGCCUCUCGCUGGCGUGUAUGCGCAGGUGUACCUUGAGACUACUCUUAUGUGGGAAGCUCCGAGGGCAUGAAGGGCACUGAAAUGGCCUCUCGCCUGUGUGAGUGCGCAGGUGUACAUUCAGUGUGCACUUUAGAGAGAAUUUCUGAGGGCACAAAUGGCAUUCAAAUGGCCGCUCGCCCGUAUG